AAAACCUUCAGGGCUUGUUAUGGAGUUCGUGUGAAGGAAACACGGAUUUCCACCCUUCUUUACCAGUCAAACCAGUAUCUCUGGAUAGUACACGCUCAAGUACAGCAACAGUUUUUACCCUUGUGGUCCCUGAUGGCUUCGCACAGUGAUACUCUGGUGGUGUUCUUUGGGGCAACAGCUGGUGCAAAUGGGGGUAAACUGGGUUCGGAUGAAAGGGAAAUAAUUCUCUUGGUGUGGCAAAUUGUGGAUCUACAUGAGAAAAAGGUUGGGAAGCUUCAUAAAUGUUUCGUCAAGCCAGACACUUUGGAGCUGACAGAUCAGUGUAAAGAAGAGACUGGGUUGACGUUGGAGGACAUCGUUGAUGCUGAGCCCCUGGACAAAGUUCUGGAACAGAUUCAGCAGUCUGUGACAUCAGAAGUAAAAUGCCUCGGCAGAAGUUCGUACACACUCUUUGUGAACGGUCCUCUAAUAAUUCGACAGGCCCUCCACCCAGAAGCCUCCAAAAAGAAUCUUGUACUACCAGAGUGUUUCUUUUCAUUUGUGGACCUGCGGAAAGAGUUUCUCAAAUGCUGCCCGAAUGCCAGCUCUGUGCAGAAGCUCACACUCUCCUCCAUGUUGGAUUAUGUUGGUCUCCCUGCGGUGUCAGAGCAGAUGAUAGGUGUGAGGGAGGUGAACAGCAUGGUGCAGCUGACGCUCUGCAUCCUGGAUGAGCCAUACAAUCACAAAUUCUACUGUGCUGAAACUGUGAAUACCAAGUUUGACUCUGGCACAUGCAGUAAGAUGGAGCCGGUGGACAGCGAGACGGUGAUCAGAGCAAGGGGCCUUCCAUGGCAGUCCUCAGACCAGGAUAUUGCUCGUUUCUUUAAGGGACUCAAUAUUGCCAAGGGCGGCGUGGCCCUCUGUCUGAACGCUCAGGGCCGGAGGAACGGGGAAGCCUUGGUUCGGUUCAUCAACGCAGAGCACAGAGACCUGGCUCUGGAGCGCCACAAACAUCACAUGGGCAGCAGAUAUAUUGAAGUCUACAAAGCGACGGGAGAAGAAUUUCUCAAAAUUGCUGGAGGGACGUCCAAUGAGGUGGCCCAGUUCCUGUCUAAAGAGAACCAGGUGAUCAUACGAAUGCGUGGGUUACCGUUCACGGCGACGACACAGGAAGUGCUGUCCUUCCUCGGUCCUGAGAGUCCCGUCACGGACGGCCCAGAGGGGCUCCUCUUUGUCAAAUACCCCGACGGACGGCCCACUGGUGAUGCCUUCGUGCUUUUCUCCUGUGAGGAAUACGCUCAGAACGCUCUGAAGAAGCACAAACAGAUUCUGGGGAAGCGGUAUAUCGAGUUGUUUCGGAGCACUGCAGCCGAGGUGCAACAGGUUCUGAAUCGUUACAUGUCCACACCUCUGAUCUCCACGCUGCCUCCAUCACCCAUCGUACCGCUUCCAGUCCUCUCCACGCCUCCCUUUCUGCCGACGGCUAGCAGCACGCGCGACUGCGUGCGGCUCCGCGGGCUGCCGUACACCGCCGGCAUCGAGGACAUCCUGGAGUUCAUGGGCGACCAUACGGUUGACAUCAAGACUCAUGGAGUCCACAUGGUCCUUAACCAGCAGGGCCGACCCUCUGGCGAUGCCUUCAUCCAAAUGAAGUCACCUGACAAAGCGUUCUUGGUGGCCCAAAAGUGCCACAAAAAGACAAUGAAGGACCGUUAUGUUGAGGUCUUCCAGUGCUCCACAGAGGAGAUGAGCAUUGUUCUGAUGGGAGGAACGCUGAACCGCAGCGGCCUCUCUCCUCCACCCUGCAAACUGCCCUGUCUGUCGCCUCCUACAGCUUAUGCUGCCUUCCCCACUCCACCUACCAUCCUCUCUGAAGCGGCCCUGUACCAGCCUCCCCUGCUGGCGGCUCCCCGGGGCCCUCCGACCACCAUGCACAGCCCUGCUCACGCUCUGGCCUACUACCCCCCUCAGCCCCAUCUCUAUAUGAACAUGAACAUGAAUUACACUGCUUACUACCCCAGCCCCCCGGUUUCUCCCUCCGCUGUCAGCUACUUUGCGGCUCCACCAGGCGCCAUGGCGGCUGCAGUGGCGGCCGGAGCCCACCCGGUUGCGGCGUCGGCCCACCCGGCUGCGGCCGCUGCCUCCUCCGUCCUGCCGCAGCCGGGCGCCCUGGUCAGGAUGCAGGGUCUGCCGUACAACACCGGAGUCAAAGACAUCCUCAGCUUCUUCCAGGGUUAUCAGGUGAGAACAAAGGCAUUAACAGAAAUUCCUUGUUUAAAAUUCAUGCUCAGCAAUUUUUAUUUUAAAUCAGAAUCCUACAGUUUUAGAACCUGAAAAAAAAGACAACUGAUUAGUUCAUUUGGUUGAUAAUUUAUUUUGCAUCCUAUUUCUGCUGCACCACAAAACUUUAAGUGAUUUUUAUUUUUAUUUUCCCAAAUACUGAACUUUUCACGCACUUUGCAACAACAUGCAGUGGAGUGUUGCAAACUGCACUGUUUUAAUUAAGUUACAUGUGUUCACUUGUGCUCUCCUGCUCCUCUUUGCUGCAAUACUUAUUGCUGCCAGCCUGAAUUAGGUGGAGUCCGCUGAUGCAGGUAUGAAUCAUGACAGAUGUUUUCACGUAGGAAAGCGGUGGGUUUGAGGCAGGGGGCAGGUUCUGGUGCUGCUGUUUUUCAUUGGGGCAGAUAUCUUGGCUCUGCUGCUGGUCUUUCUUUCGUUCAUUCACACCAACAAGGAAGCAAUUUUAAGUUUAAGUUUUGGAGAAAUGUAGGUACGCUUUGUGUGUAUGUGUUUUUUUUUUUUUGAAAGCUGAGUGUCACUGUUUAAUGAAUUUGUUGUUUUCUAGAUUCUGUAGGUGAUAUGUGUGUUUUCUGGCUCCAGUAUGAUUUCCCACACACAGGUCCUGAGAAAGAAAACUGUCUCUUUGUAGAGAUCCUCAAACUUUCAAUACUCUUAUCUGUUUUUAAAUGUGACCAGUAUUUGGUGAAUUUCUCUUUUGUUUCAGUGUGGUUUUAUUUUGAGUUUGUUUUUUUUUUUUUUGGUCAUCUUUCUACCCAUCUGUAUCUUUUGUGUGAGUGUAAAAAACGUGCAUUGUGAUGUCUAACCCAAUGUUGAGGUCCCUCCAGCCUGACUGUGUGUUCAUCGUUGUACUGUAUCUGUAGUACGCCCCUGACGAGUACAGCGGCUUGGUUCAGAUGAACGAACAGGCCAGGAGUCUGAUUCAGCCCAAAGAAUGGCUCUGCCUUUAGGGCUCACCCCAAGCUCCAACCAGACGCCGUACUUAUCUUGUAUAACUUCAGCGGUCAGUGCAGCGGCGAAGCCCUGAUCACCUUCCCCAACGAGGGCAUUGCCCGGCGCGCCAUAGCCGAGUUCUCAGGCCAACCUUUCUACGGCCAGCUGAUCCACUUGGUUUUCUGUAACUGACCACCAGCUCUCCAUCUUUCAUCCCCUUUCUAAUAGAAACGCCUCCAAACUCUUUACAGAGAACCUGCCGAACUCUUCCCUCUCUGUAUGAUCUGUAUUUUGACCACACACCUCUCCGCUGGUCCUCACACUCCUAAAGCUGCUGCUGGAGUCGGGCCUUCCACAGACGAAGCAGCUUGACGCUGGACUUUGUGACUUUGCUCCUGCUGGUGGGGCAGGAUUAGCGUGAAGCCUGGACAGAGCAUGCAGCCACUCUGCAAAGCCAAACUUGGAGAUAAAUGUAUUCUCUUCGAAACUGUACAGACCUGUCUCCUGAAAUGCUUGAGGCUGUAUAUGCAUUUAUACACGUUUGUCUUUAUAUUUCUGAACUUUAACCACUUACAGAUUUAGAGUUUUGUGUUUAUGAACAUUUUUGUUAGCUGCAGAAAGAAAUGUUUGGAGGCUAAAUAUUCUCCAGCAGUUUAGUUAUGAUGAUGAAAAUGUCUAAGCCAUAAGGACUACUUUAUAUUUCUGAAACAAAGUCAAUCAGCAUGCUAAAACUGUCAUGAUUUAAAUUGUAGCUAGUAAGUGACUUUAAGCUUCAGGGAAUACUAGUUUAUACUACUGUGUAGCACAUCUGUGUCAGUGUAUGAAUUAAUCUGUGACUUUUUUUAAAAAGCAUUUAUUUUGUGACCACCAGCAUGUCUAAACCUCUAAGUAUUUUCUAAGCACUACAGAUGUUUUGGGUUGCUCCACUCGCAGAGACACUACGCUGAACAUCUUUAACAGUAAAUUAAUUCUAGUUUCAUUGACACUUAUUUACAAAAGCUGAGACUUUAUUAAAUGUAAAAAUUACUUAGGUUUUUUUCCUGCAGUCUUGCAUAUUGAUUGACCCGGAGCAGCUGCUUCUUUGGUUUUUGUUUUCUGACUAAAACAGCCAGUCUGCACCAUGAUUCAGUUCCUGUGAACAACCAGAGAGACGUGUAAAACUGCAGGAGCCUUUUUUUCUUCCUUCCUGUGAGAGGCCUACUGAAUUGUCUUAGUUUUUUCUCUUCACCAAGCCUACAUUACCCAGAGUGCAAUACUGGCCCACAGGAGGCAUAGGAGCCUCUGGUGGCAGAUUUGUUUUGUUGCGAUGUAAAGAUGCAUGAAUUUAGGUCUAUGUAUAAAAUGUAAACAAUAAAAAUAUCAACAAAUA